UAAAAAUAUUUACUUUAAUAAUUCAGGUCAGAGUGUGAGUGAAUUAAGUUCAUCACCACCUGUCAAAAAGCCAUGUAAUGGAACUCCUAUUGACAAACCAUCCACAUUUUCAUUGUUGUCAG